UGCAUUUGCAAUUAGUACUCAUCAGAUGA
rnacentral:piRNA from 1 species